rnacentral:rRNA from 1 species
AUUGAACGCUGGCGGCAGGCUUAACACAUGCAAGUCGAGCGGGGUGAUGGUGCUUGCACUAUCACUUAGCGGCGGACGGGUGAGUAAUGCUUAGGAAUCUGCCUAUUAGUGGGGGACAACAUCUCGAAAGGGAUGCUAAUACCGCAUACGUCCUACGGGAGAAAGCAGGGGAUCACUUGUGACCUUGCGCUAAUAGAUGAGCCUAAGGCGGAUUAGCUAGUUGGUGGGGUAAAGGCCUACCAAGGCGACGAUCUGUAGCGGGUCUGAGAGGAUGAUCCGCCACACUGGGACUGAGACACGGCCCAGACUCCGACGGGAGGCAGCAGUGGGGAAUAUUGGACAAUGGGGGAACCCUGAUCCAGCCAUGCCGCGUGUGUGAAGAAGGCCUUAUGGUUGUAAAGCACUUUAAGCGAGGAGGAGGCUCUUUUGGUUAAUACCCAAGAUGAGUGGACGUUACUCGCAGAAUAAGCACCGGCUAACUCUGUGCCAGCCGCCGCAGUAA